rnacentral:rRNA from 1 species
CCUACGGGAGGCUGCAGUGGGGAAUAUUGGGCAAUGGGCGAAAGCCUGACCCAGCAACGCCGCGUGAAGGAAGAAGGCCCUCGGGUUGUAAACCUCUUUUGACAGGGAAGAGAAGAAGGCGGUACCUGUCGAAUAAGCCACGGCUAACUACGUGCCAGCAGCCGCGGUAAUACGUAGGUGGCAAGCGUUGUCCGGAUUUACUGGGUGUAAAGGGCGUGUAGGCGGGCUGACAAGUCAGAUGUGAAAUCCGGGGGCUCAACCCCCGAACUGCAUUUGAAACUGUGGGUCUUGAGUAGCGGAGAGGCAGGCGGAAUUCCUGGUGUAGCGGUGAAAUGCGUAGAUAUUAGGAGGAACACCAGUGGCGAAGGCGGCCUGCUGGACUACAACUGACGUUGAGGCGCGAAAGCGUGGGGAGCAAACAGGAUUAGAUACCCGUGUAGUC